CCCUCUUUUUCUUGUCACCAAAAAUAAGGAGGGGCGUCCAAGAGUUGGAUGCCCCAAUUCCACAUGAUGCCAACCCCUCUUUUCCUCUCCUCUUGAAAGAAUUUUUGAGAGCUUUUGCUAUUGAUUUUUAGAUGUCAAAGAGAAGCUCCUUUGCUAGUUUUAUAGUAAAAAAUUGGAGAAGAAAAAUUCUUCCUAACGAGAGAAAGAGAAGGAAGAAGAAGGGUCUUCUUUCUUAUGCACAGUCUUGGAGAAGGAGUUCUUCUUCUAAAUUUUUUUUUAUUUUUUUAAGAUGAAAAUUAAGUUGGAUCUAAUUUUUAACAUGAGUAUUAAAGAAAAAAUAUCAAAAAAAAUCUGGUUGGGUGUUUAGGCCUUCUUGAAGUUCUAGAUCAAGGAGAAAAAGGGAGAAGAAGAGAAGAACGGUUCUUCUCUUGGAUCUCUCUUUUGAAUUUUUUUAAAAUAUGAGAAUCCAUAUUAUUUUUAGCAAAAAAAAUCAGAUUAGAUCUGAUUUUUAUCAUAAAAAAUUAAAGAAGAAAAGUUCUUCUUAAAGGCGUAAAAGGAAGAG
rnacentral:lncRNA from 1 species